GACGAACGCUGGCGGCGUGCUUAACACAUGCCAGUCGAACGGAAAGGCCCUGCGUUUGUGGGGUGCUCGAGUGGCGAACGGGUGAGUAACACGUGAGGAACCUGUCCCUGACUUUGGGAUAACUUCAGGAAACUGGGGAUCUUACCGGAUAUGAUCUCCUGCUGCAUGGUGUGGGUUGGAAAGUUUCGGCGGUUGGGGCUGUACUCGCGGCUUAUCCGCUUGUUGGUGGGGUUGUUGCUUACCAAGGUUUUGACGGGUAGCCGGCCUGAGAGGGUUAACGGCCACAAUGGGACUGCGAUACGGCGCAGACUCGUACGGGAGGCAGCAGUGGGGAGUCUUGCACAGUGGGCGGAAGCCUGAUGCAGCAACGCCGCGUGCGGGAUGACGGCCUUCGGGUUGUAAACCGCUUUCGCCUGUGACGAAGCGUGAGUGACGGUAAUGGGUAAAGAAGCACCGGCUAACUACGUG
rnacentral:rRNA from 1 species